CAUGGACUUCAUUUCAGAUUUAAUGGCUCCAAGCCACUUCUCAAUAUUUGAUCCUUGUAUUGCAUCUGUAUGGGAGAUCAAAUCUCCAUCCUGAACAUAGAAAUUGAAGUAUCUAUUCGACUGAUAUGAUACUCUACUGUAUCUAUUCAAAGAUGCCUUUACAUCAAGCUCUGGAUUUGAUCUAAUCAACUUCGAUUUUGUUGGUUUGUGUCAGAGUUGGUUGCUCUACCUAUCAAGCUUCAUCAAGUUUGCUCUUAAUGGCAUCAGUUCCUUCACUAAAAUUUUUUUUUUCAAAAAGAAUGCCUUAAGAUUCAUGAACAUCUCAUGUCUAUCCAGAAGAUAAAAGAAAUAUCUCUAAAAUAAUAUUUAUCAGAUCAAGAUCCAAGCUAGUCAGUUUGUGAAUAUUUUAUGUAAGCUCGACACCCCAAAUCCUAAGAUAAGAGAGUAUUGAAUUACCCAAGUUCAUAUCCCAUAUGGAGUUUUUGGUGAUCAAUUUGCUCAGAAUAUUCUCGAGCACAUAUCAAGUAGUCUCUAAAACAUAACCUCAAGCAGACCAACAAAUCUCACAG
rnacentral:lncRNA from 1 species